AUACGGAGGGUGCAAGCGUUAUCCGGAAUCACUGGGUUUAAAGGGUGCGUAGGCGGCCUGGUAAGUCAGAGGUGAAAUACACGAGCUUAACUGGUGAAUUGCCUUUGAAACUAUCAAGCUAGAAUUAUGUUGAGGUCAGCGGAAUGAGUCAUGUAGCGGUGAAAUGCAUAGAUAUGACUUAGAACACCAAUUGCGUAGGCAGCUGGCUAGGCAUUAAUUGACGCUGAGGCACGAAAGCGUGGGGAGCGAACAGGAGUAGAAACCCUAGUAGUCC
rnacentral:rRNA from 1 species